rnacentral:rRNA from 1 species
GGGCCCGCACAAGCAGUGGAGUAUGUGGUUUAAUUCGAAGCGACGCGAAGAACCUUACCAGGGCUUGACAUCCCGCGAAUAGCGUGGAGACACGCGAAGCCCUUCGGGGCGCGGAGACAGGUGGUGCAUGGUUGUCGUCAGCUCGUGUCGUGAGAUGUUGGGUUAAGUCCCGCAACGAGCGCAACCCUUGCCGUCAGUUGCCAUCAUUCAGUUGGGCACUCUGGCGGGACUGCCGGCGACAAGUCGGAGGAAGGUGGGGACGACGUCAAAUCAUCAUGCCCCUUAUGUCCUGGGCUACACACGUACUACAAUGGCCAUAACAGAGGGAGGCAAUGGGGCGACCCGGAGCGAAUCCCCAAAGAUGGCCCCAGUUCGGAUCGUGGGCUGCAACCCGCCCGCGUGAAGUCGGAAUUGCUAGUAAUGGCAGGUCCAGCAUACUG